GCAGCAGAGGGAGUGCUGCAAAGCAAACACAUUCCUGAAAUAGCAUGAGGCUUUCUAUGCCUGAAUUCUUUCCAGCCUAUUGUCAAUAAUACAAAUGCUUUCCACUCCUCCUCCCGCCCCUCCCCCGAAAAAAGGCAAGAGGGAGGAAAAACGUAGGAUCUGGCUUAAUGGCAAUAUGUACUGCCAAAAAAUACUGUAAGCAAUAAUUGUCUUACUAUUGGGUGAAUGGGUUUUUAUUAGGAUAUAUGUUAUCAUAGAUUCACAAACAGGUUGAGUUUUCAAGGUGCCCACACCAACUACAACCGAGAUAGGUAUCCAGCUUAGAUUUUGCAGCAUUACAACUUGCACAGUAGAUCAUGUUUAUAAAUGACUGUAUUCCAUGGAUUUGUAUUGACAACUUAGUUGGAAUGUUUCUUCUGAAAUGUGUUUGGUUCACAUGCAGGCCAUAUCUCAGAAAAUCUUCCUAUGGCUUACAACCAGUUUUUGAUUUGGCCUCUGAAAUAGGUUCGUGCAACCUACUGGUGUACUAACAGCCAACUCGAUACCCAAUUACCUGGUGUACUCCUGGGGGGAUUCUGCUGGACUGUGCGCCCACAGAAAAUGCCUCCCCCACACCCUGAAUUCCUGCAGAAAACAGCAGGGAAACUGCACAAGGGGUAAGGGACGUCCAUGGGUGCAGUUUUUUUUGGGGGCUUGUAAGAGUUUUUUUUCCCCUUUCAAAAAUCCUUAAUUUUUAUAUUUCUCUUGCCUUAUUCUUUUCCCCUUCAUGUUUAGAGAAAUUAGUUAUAAAAUCAAUCUCCACUAACCCCUCCAGCACCAUGUCAUUUUCUAAGCAGUUGGCUACUCCCUUACCCUCCCAUCCCAAAGUCAUUGCUUCCCAUUCCUAAGGCGUUUCUCUGAAGGUGAUUAGCUUGCUAGAUGUCCUCAGUCUCAGGCUGUGAAGGUGCUUCCCCGGGGGUGGUGGUUUGAUCUACCUCAAUUCCCAGGUGGCUGAAGGGAGUAAGAGUAUAUUGACACUGCAAUAAAAGACACAUAGGUGGCAUGGGUCAGCCACUAAGGAUCAGGCUGUAAGGCUAUAAAAUUGCAGCCUAGAUAGUCCAGGUUAUGAGGGAGCUCAGCCUCUGAUGCCUCUAACUGGAGGGGGUCUCAGAGCUUGGGGUCCAGCCUGAGCCGAAAUGUCUACACUGUUUUUAGCCUCUGAGUCAGCAAAGUUGGUCUCUGAGCCUUGGUGUCAUGCAGUGUUGACAUAGCCUGAGUGGCUGCCAAACCAUUGUUCUAGGGUCUUGGCCAGCCAGGCCCCUCCUCCAGUGUUCCUACUGCUGGUUUCAUUAGUAUGAUUCUGAGAUGUCUGCAUUAUUCACAAGCAAAGCACACAAAUCCACCCCUAUCAUGCUAUAAGCUCUAGUAUUAUUACACUGUUAGAAGUAGCGACAAUAUUAGGGUCCACCAAAGAUGUGCAGGGUUUUUGUGGUUCAGCGUUCCAGUUAUAUUCCUUUUCAGACUGGACCCCUGCCUCAGUCUGGACUCCCGCCCUUUGCCUUCCCUUCAGGUGACUUUAGCGGUCUCUCUUCUUAGGCAGACAGGCAAUGGAGAGGAGGAGUCCCAUUUGCCUUCCUCCCCACUCUUAAAUAGGAUUUAUAUAAGGUGGGAAUUCUUUGUUUCCCAAACUUGAACCCCCUUCCCUUCCAGUGGAAAGUUACAAGAAGACCCAAGUAAUGUUUGGUAUCAGCUGACAAGACCACCUGAUCUAGUAGUGUCAUAGUUAUGUCCCCAGAUGCCUCCUAGGAUUAGUAUCUUCAUGGUUUUGUUGUUCCUUCCUGAUGGUUCAUCGAAUUUGAUGGCCUGUUGUCUGAUGGGUGUCUUCCCAUUACACACUCAGUUGUAAUUGUUACAUAGUCCAUAUUUCUAACUUUAGAUACAGAAAUGAUACAUGCAUACAAAUUGGAUAAACACAUUCAGUAAAUCAUAACCUUCCCAAUGAUACUGUUGGUGUCACCAGGUAUAACCUAGGUAACUCGAGAGGGUGGUAGACCACAAGUGUCAAUGAAGCCCUCCUGUUGUAGGCCUCAGUGAACCAUUGUUCCUCCAUGUUCAACACUUUGUGUAACCUAGUGUAACCUAAUAUGUUAAGAGCUGUAAAAUGUACUGUCAGCAGUUAGUUUUCUGAUUGUAACAGCCAGUUCCCUGCUGUAACACACUGGAGCUAAAUUGAAGCAAGUUUCAAGGCCGCUUUUAGAUACAGCGUACAUGUCUCUGCAGCAGAAAGGGGGAGAGGGAGGGGGAAAACAAAGAAGUAUGUGAGAAGAAAAUGCUGCAGCCGGACAGAAGAGGGAGGGGAAACGGGGGAUUGCUAGUCAGCAAAAAAAGUUCUCAUGGGAUAUAAAGAAACAGACUGCUUGUUUUAGGUGGGCUUGAUUUGAGGCGUCAGUCUCCCUGCACCGCUUUUAGAUCUCAAAUAAACUUGGUUUGCUUCUCCA